CUGCACCAGGUGGAAUUGAACUCAUUGAUGUUUGUAAGUGCUGUAUGAUCCUCAGGGUAUUCUAACGGAACACCAUAUGCUGCAUUCAGGAACUGAAUCAACAAUCAAGCCAAAUUAUUUCAAGUGUAAAUCAGGCAAAACUCCACUGAAAUCAUUAAGUUGAUACCAUUGUACAGCCAUGAUAUAUGGGGAAGAGCCCAUGGGAUGAAGAUGAAUAAUUCUCAUGACUAGGAAUAAGAUUGUGUUUCAGGAAGAUGCACUUGCCCAGCAGAGGGUAAUUGUUGCUGUUCCUCGUGCUGGUCCCAUCACCAAAAUCAAGAGCCGACAAAUCAGUGGCAGCAGAAAAAAAGAAUUUUAGCCAAGAAUAAUCACACGGCGACUUCCAUUUGAAAACACCACUUUGAGAAUCCCUGCCAAGAAGAGAGAGACAAUUAAAGCUGUCAGGAUUGCUCACUAGGAGGCUGAAAAGAAAAGCAAGGGGCGGAUCUGUCUAAGGAUUCCAAGACAGAUAGCGAAUGUCUGCAGAGUUGUGUCACGAUGAAUCUGCUCUUUCAUGCUGGAUGUGGAAAGGCGUGACCAAACCACCACGUACUGCAAAGGCUGAUUUGAGGACGGAUGAUGGGCUGCAGACUUAUCUUUUUUUGGAAUACUGGAUUACUUAGAUAAGAGCAAGUCUUAGAUACACUACCUACAAAGAAACAGAAAAAAAAAUGCUUGAAUUAGCCACUUCACCACUUCAAACCAAAACAGAGACAAAGACAGUAGUAAAGUUUACAUGUGAACUGUAAGCAAGCUAAGUACACUUCAGUAAUAUACACCAGAUUACAUUUAGCACUGGUAAUAACAGCUAUUCUUCAGGAACACAUUGGAGUGCUGCAGAUUUAUUUGCUGCACAGUCUGCAUCUUACUAGGAGCAAUGCUUGAUUUGCAAGAUCACUAAGAUGUGUAUUACAAUACCAGGACCUUUGAACACAUAGCAAGAGAGGCACAUACCAUGUUAUUGAUAAACAAGUACUUUACUAAACCUACCUUCUGCACAAUAGCCCAUGCAUCCUUGAGUAGGUUGCAAGAGAUAAACAAAGAAUUCUCCACAGUUUCUAACUGAGAUAGGUAUCCGGAACAAACAACAGUCUUUGGUGCUUCCAAAGAAGAAUUGCCAGGUAGCACAAGCCAUUAGCUGCUUUUUCCCCCCAGGAAGCGGGAGGGAUUCAGAUUUUAGUGAAAGCCACACUGGAGCUUGUGUGCCACAUUUAUUCAUCUGAGGAUAAACAUAAAAGAAAUAAUUUAUAGCAACCUACAAUAUAUUCGUUCAGUGCUUGUGUUAGCAUUUUGUGUAUAAUCGUUUAAAAACAGGAUUAUCAAAUCAUUCAAAACAGGAAUUCACAAAA